AAGGUAGCAUAAUCAUUAGUUUUUUAAUUGAAAGCUAGUAUGAAAGGCUGAAUGAGGAAAUAACUGUCUCUAUUUAAAUUUUUUAGAAAUUUAUUUUUAAGUAAAAAAGCUUAAAUGUGUAUYGUAGRCGRGAAGRCCCYAUAGAGUUUUAUAAAUUUWUUAGUUAGGUGUUUUAGAAUUAUAAAAUUUAAUAGUCAGAUUUAUUUAAUUGGGGKGAUUGAAAAAUUUAGUUAACUUUUUUUCUAUAAAAACAUUUAUUUAUGAAAAAUUGAUCCUUUUAUUAAGAUUAAAAGAUUAAAUUAC
rnacentral:rRNA from 1 species